UUUUAAUAGAAUGGUGAACUCGAUACCUAGACCAUAGGACAGAGACCCGUACUGCAAUCUCCCAAAAAGAAAAGAAAAAUCAUGUGCGUGGUAAGUUGCUCCAGUUUUACACAAUUUGAACUAAAAAUCGUCGUAAAGUUAUCUAUUCGUGGAUCAUCAGCAUGCGACUUUGGUAUGGAAUUCAAGAAUUAGCAAUGGUUACUUAACUGUUAAACCGCCUUUACUUUCCAGCCUUCUAUACACUGUAUUUUGGUAUUUCUCCGAAAAGAUUUCAAGAAUUCCAAAUGGGUGAAGUUAAUUUUUAUAGGUUACUUAUUCAUAAUUUCUGAAAAGUGAUCUUUGUUGUGUUUUUUCCUAUGUGCAAUUUUUCGUAUAUUGGGAAGCUUCUGUGUAUUAUUAUUAUUAUUAUUAUUAUUAUUAUUAUUUUGCAGAGGAAGGAGAAAAAGAGGUAAUGGAGGUAGUGGAUUCAAAUAACUUUCAAAUUGAAUCGACCUGAAACUAGAAGAAAAGAUAGAGCAAGAAACAAUUGUAUAGAUGGCUAUAUAUUAUUUGUAAAGAGAAACUAUUUGAUCUUACCGCAAGGUUAUAUUUUUAUAUUUUCCUAUUUACAACUCUUUUCAGUCAUGUAUAUUCUUGUUAUUUGGAUAACUUGAGUAAGAAUCUAAGAAUACUGGUGGUGGAUGUAAAUAUUCACUGGUGUUGUCUAUCAGUAUACUUUAUAUACAGUUAGUUAAGCGCACUAUCAUCAUGUGCUUGCUUGUGUGCGAGCAUAGGUUCCAUGCGAGGAGCAACAUGGGGCCCUGGAGGGCAGUUGCGGCCCCAUUGGACUUUUUGGAGUGAAAAUGUUUUUUUUGGGGUACUACAAUGAAGAGCUUUGAAGAAGACAGAAUAUGCCGGAGCAAUGCCCUGUAUUUCUUUAUAAUAUGCAAUGUAUUCUCUGUUAUUCAGAAAUAUGACAGCAAAUGCAUCUAACAGACCCUUUACAGGUGUAGCUAUCCUAUAGAAAUAAAUGUCCAGUCUAACAACAAUUAAACUAAUCAAUGCCCUAAUUACAUACUUUUUUUUUUUCUUUUUUUCAAACAAGAAACAUUUUUUUAAUAUUUUAUUUCAUAAUUUUUGAAGUUUAAAACGUAGAUGAAACCUUUUCCAAUACUUGAUCUAUUUAUCAAUCUUUAGAAUUUACUUGGUGAUUAUGAACUGUUAAUUGACAUUUGAGGUUGUAAUAUAUACGUUUGUUGUUCUAUAAAAACUUUCAUUAUCCAUACUUUGAGGUAUUGUGUAAUAACUCUGCGUAAUGUAAGUGUAUAAACUCACUAUUCUUCAUGAUAUUUAUUUAAAUUUUAUUUAUACAUCUUCAAGAUCUAUUCAAUCUUAUCCAACAUGAUCUCUAAUCUCAAAAGUCUUUUGCUUAAACCACUUCUUUGUGUUUUUUAUGCACGCAGUGCCUUUUGUUUCAUUGGACUCUAUAGAAAAAGUAUAAGUAAGAAUUCUAACAAUAAAUUUUUAAUUAAGAUAGUCAAAAAAAUCCAUUGGAUUUUCCUAACAAAGAGCAAUCUGAUUGUUCGGUUCCUACAAUGGAGUGGACUAGGAUGUCCUAGGACCAAACCUAUAACAUUGAAAUAUCUUAGAAUUGGUCAGUAGAACCUGAAUGCAACCUCUCAACAUGGAUGGUAAUUGUUAUGUUUGCUAAUCAAGGUGCAAAAGAAUUAAGAAAUGACAAAUUUGUCAUUUUGGCAUUUUCGAAGUAUGAAACUCCAUAGGAAACAAUUGUAUUGUAUAAACAAGAAUUAUAACAUUAACACUCUUGUGUUAGUGUUUUGUUUAAAAAUUUAUAUUUUAAGUCAUGUCCCCACUGAAUUAUAUUCAUUUCUCUGCCUCGGCCUGUUUCAUGUAUAAACAGGUAUGUUGUAUCAAGAAAGAAAACNNNUUUCUUUCUUUCUUUCUUUUCCUAUAAUGGUCAAAGAGCUACCCUGUGAAAGGGAGUGCAGCAGGGGCAAGGAUUACCGCUUGAUAAAGCUCACGGUAACAGUCUAUAAUGUCAGUGUCAUUUUCUGCUGUUUUUCUUAUUCUUAGAAAUCAUUUUUGCUUAUUGUUUUAGUUUAAUGAAAAGUACUAACUCAUUUGGUCAAAAAUUUUACUCUCAAGUUACUUUAUUUAAUAGAGCAAGAGUGAAAGGCGUGUGGUGGUAGAGUGCAGAGGACAUGAUGCUGCGUAGAUAUGUAAAAUCCACCAUGCUCAUGGGCAAGCCAUCUUGUGAAAAUGCAUAAAAUACAUAUACAGUUAUACCAAGUGUGCAUGUCAUGUGCAGUGUUAGUAAUGGCUAGGGAUAUAUGUCAGUUACUUUCGUUAAUACUAUAAUUUAAUGUCUGUCAAUAGCCACUUGAUUUUACUUGUUAGUGUCUGCUCAUUUAUCUUUCCAACUCGAUUAAUCGUGGUGUUGUGACAUCUUUUGGCAAAAUGACAAGGAAAAGGGUAAAAUAUUUGUCUAUGCAUGUGAUAUGUUUUAGUACUUAUGUUUGUUCAUUCUUGCUGAAGAUAUGGAAAGACUGUAAAGAAUAAUCUCCAAGAUAUUUUUUCAAUAGUGUGAGAUUAUUUUCCUUAAUAGUUGAUAAUGUGAUUAUCAUACAAUUUUUCCUUUUAGAGUUAUUUAUAACCAUAUAAAAAGGAUUUUCUACUUUGUAAUAGAAACACAAAUUUAUUAUAUACAAUUUAUAAUAUUUUAAUAUGGUAUCAGAGUGGAUUUAAUUUCAUUUUGGGUUAAAUUUUCAAUCUUCUAUUCUUCGACGGCCGCUCGUUUUGUCAAUUUUCUUAUUUUGAUUAGAUAUCCUCAUCUAGAAUAUUCUUUUUCAUUUUUUUAAUAUAUUCGUCCAUAUUCUGCGUAGUCAAGUCUACUUUUGUCAUUGAUUUAAUCUAAAUUUGGAUUUCUGAUUAAUUCAAAUCUUGUUAGGUGUUGGCUAUUCUUGUUGUUUCCAUUUUGGAGAGAGUUAAUCUCCAAGUUGAUUCUAGAAUUCUUUUGGGAAAAAAAAAAUCAUGUUAUUUUUCCAUCGAAUUUAUUUCCAUCACAUCUAUUGUUUUAGCCUCCUCAUGUGCCAGGGUUCUUGUUUCAUUAGUCCUAUAUGUAAGCGUGGUACUAAUAAUGCCCAUGAAUUUUUGGAGUGCUACUAUUAAACAUGGUCUUUUCUUGGCCUGUCUAGUUAUUAAAACCAUUUGAUUUUCUUGUUUUGGCCUUGUUCGUUAUAUUUUUGGGUCUCCUUCAAGUUUUGGUGAUGAUUUGGUUAGAUUGGUGGACGAUAAAUUUUUUUUGGUAUCAACUUUGAGUUUGGCUUGGUUGGCACGCAAGCAAUUUUGAAGGAUCCUUCGAUCCUUGGAGGAUGAAGAUUUGAUUGAAUCAAUUUAAUUUUCAAACUCAAUUUGAUUGUCACUACACCAUAUUGAGUUUGAUGGAGGGUGUUAUAGAUAUGAAAAGAUUUUAAAGAAUAAUCUCCAUGAUAUUUUUCCAAUAGUGUUGAUUAUGUGAUUAUCACACAAUUUUUCCUCUUAGAGUUAUUUAUAGCCCUAAAAAAGGGUAUUCUACUUUUUAAUAGAAACACAAAUUUAUUAAAUAUAAUUUAUAAUAUUUUAAUAAUACUAAAAUAGAUAAGAUUAGGAUUGAACCAACAAAUGGAGUGGUAUGGUUGAAGAUAAAUUGAAGGAAUGUCGACUUAGAUGAUUAAGACGUGUUUUGCAUAGAUCCAAAGAGGCUUCCGAUGAUAUCUUAGUAAAACAAGUCAAAAUAGGGAGGAGUAGACCAAACUAAUACUGUACAUUAUGGAUGGGAAGGAUCUAGUUGCUUUAGAUUCUCUUGUAGAUUUAGCAAUGAACUAGAUGGAGGAAAAGAAAAAAAUUCCUUUUAACCGAUUCCUGAUUUAUUGAGAACAAGCUUAGUUUAUUGUUUCAUAAUAUCUGAAUGCAUGUUGCAUGGCAGAUGGGUGCAUAUUGAGCUUUCUAUCAAUACAUACGAGGUGUAAUGUCUACACAUAAUUGUCAUGGUUUUAAACAGGACUUCUUUUUUAUUUUCCACCAUCACCCUUGUGAGAAUGACUGGGUUUCAGUUUUUUUUGAAUGUGAGACACUGAAAGCCAAGAACACAGCUGAGGAACAUAUCCAAAAGUUCAUACCUAAGUUAGCUGGAUGGAUGCAGUUGGUAAGAAUUAAAACUACAUUUUAAACUUUAGAAGUCUGUUUUGUUCAAGUCUAUCUAUUUGCUUUGAAAAACUAGAAUAUUGUGAAGAUUCAAUGUUACCUGGUUUUAACAUCAUUUGGCUGUCGAUUAUUAGUUUUUAAAAAUCUCAAACGUAGGAUUGAUUACCAUUCCGAAAGGAAUUUUGGUAUCCUACUUGUAAUAUAGAUAUUGCUGACUCGAACCAAGAAAUAGAAUGCAAACAGAAUAAAUUUCUAACUCUUGAAAUUUAUUUUAACUAUGAUUUAUAUUGUCUUGCUUAUAUCUGUGAACCUCAAAAUUACUUGUGACUAAUAAAGUUUUUUAGCUUAGAUAUUUAUUGACUUAUUUAUGUCUGUAAACCUCAAAUUAAUUGUAACUAAUCAAAUCAUUUUGCUUAAUGUGAGGAAUAAACAUGGUCAUUUAAAUGGUUUUUACUAUGGUUUUGGUUCAUACUUGUCUGUUAUGUCAUUUUGUAGAGUGUCAAUGUAAAUGCCUUAAGAUACUUUUGAGCCCUUGCUGAUCUGUCAUUUUUUAUUCAUCUUGCAAACAUUUGCAAGAAGUCUGCUCUUGCAGUUAAAAUUGGCCCAAUGAGCAUCACCAGAGUAGACUUUGAAGCAGAGGCCGAACAAGAGCACAGUCAGCAGAAUACGUGAUAUUGAUGGAGUUGAACUCUGUCGUUAAUUAAUAGCUGCCUUUUGCUUUCCGUUUUUGAUCCAAAUGUUGUCGAUAUAGGUAUGUGAAUUAUUUUCUGCUGGAUCUAAUUUCAGUAGAUAUGCCUAACGACCCACAUGAAUGAAUAUUCUAAUGUACCUAAAGGCCUACGUGAAUGAAUAUUCUAAUGGUUUUGUAAACUUGUCUCAAGACUCUUGGACUCGAUUGCAACAUAAAUGUGCCGGAAAGGAUGGCCAUGUUAGAUUCAAAGUGACUUCCAUAUUAUUGUUAACAUGUUUGGUAAGAUGGACUACAUGAUACUAGAAAGUAUAAUUGUUUGGGGUAAAGAAGAUAUGAUUCUGACAUGUUUAGUUUGAUGGGUUGGACAAUAAUAGAUCAUGUAAAUGAAGUUAUAAACUUGUUGAAAAACUAUCCAAUAUUUGUUCGGUCGGUUUCGGGGCCACGGUUAGUAUUGGAUGGUGCAAACUGGAUUUGGGUUACCUGAAAUUGAAUGCAGAUGAUAUAGUCUCUGUCGAAGAGGAUUUUAUUGAAAUGGGAUUCAUCAUGAGAGAUCAUAAUGGUCUGGUCGUGGUGGCCAGCUCUCGGCAGAUUAGGGGCCUUUUUUACCCUGAAGUUGCUGAAUCAAUUGCCCUAUGUUAUGGUCUCCAGUUGCAAAGGAAAAUGGCUUCAUGGAUUUGGAAGUUGAGUCCAAUGCUCACAGGGUAGUUCACAGUCGAAACCUCGUUUCUUUAUUGGCAUCUAAUGCUGCUAUUUUAUAGGGCAUCUCAGCUCUUUUAGUUAUUCGCUCUGGACAGUGUUGCUACAUACCUCGUUUGGGAACAACCAAGGCUCAUGGGAUUGCUCAUUUUAUUAUUACUACCCCACGGUCUUAUGAUUGGUUUGAUUGUACUCUGUUUGAUUUUGGGAGGUAGUAGUAUUGAUCGACGUAUAUUUUUUGAUCGAAUAGCUUCCUGUGUCAUCUAUGGUCAGUCUCUUUUCGAGAGAAGAUUUUGUACCUUGCCUGAUUCUAAAGAAAUUCGAGUCAAUUAUCAUAUUUUGUUAUGUUCUUAGAAGCAAUUGAUGACCCUUUUCUUUGCAUUAGAGUUGGUGGAUUUAGUUGUAGAUAUACUGACGUGUCAGGUCGAAGAUUGUUCAUGUCCAUACGAAAGAGGCACAAUGAUGGGUUGAGGACGAUGAAAGAAUGCCGGGUGGAAUUCAAUGAACAUGAAUGCUAAAGAUUCACGGAGGUCUCAAAAAAUAGGGAAAUAGUGUGGUACGGGCUUUUUAGAUAACGUAGUCUUCUACUAUCUGUGUAUAACUUAUGCAUGGGAAUUUGAAGAACACUUUGAUAAUCAUAGUCCGACUUGCAUGUGUUAAGCACGUAGCCUAUAGCUUCUUAGCUAGCU
rnacentral:lncRNA from 1 species